rnacentral:lncRNA from 1 species
UUAUAUUUAAUAAAGAUAUUUCUUAAAUUAUAUAUUACUAAUGUCAGCUGUCGUCAGUGUCAUGUUCAAUAUCCGUAACCGUAGGUACGAGUUGGUGCUCAUAGCCGACAUGCAUAACAUUUUCAGUAUGUAAUACUAAAGGGGCAGCUUAUAACUAACACACAUUUUAUCAUUAAAAGCACAACAACAUAUAUCACAAUUUACCUCUAAAAAUAAAAAUACAUCACAAUUUAGAUUUUAGAUGGAGCAGACUUAUAUAAUAAGAUAAGGUCUCUUAGAGAAACACAAAUAUAUAAGAGAGUCUAGUAAUUAAAUUAACCAAAGAGCCCAAAACACUUGGUAGUAGUUGGUAUGCAUAUAUCUUCAAGAUUUGAAGACCUUAAAGAUAUUACCCCAACGGUUCUUUGGUCUAGUCUUAGGAUAAUUAACAACCAUAAUUCCACCAUAAUUAUAAGCUGCAUCUUUGCUAUUGAUAACUAUCUCUUCCUUGUUGUAUUGUCUUUGCCUUCCUCCAUUAUUGGACAUUUUUGUUGGUGGACCAUAAAAUUUGUCAAUGAGAUCAAAGCCUUCUAUCCCUAUCUUAACAAGAUCAUGUUGUGGUGCCAUAGAAGAAAAUGUGUGUGAUAUAUUGGAAACAAUAUACAAUUUAGUGUUUCUUGAUUGAAAUCUUAAUAGAGUACUCCAUUAUUUAUACACUAAGCAAACAUGGUACUUUACCUAAAAAGUGGUAAGGGAUUUAUUUUAUUCAUGUAUUGUAUGUGUAUUAUUGUG